rnacentral:ncRNA from 1 species
AGUUUAGUUAAUGUUUAAAAUUUACUUUUAUUAAAAGUUUUAUUCUGGCUUAAAAAUUUGUUUUUAUAUUAUUUUACAUGCAAAGUUUUAUUUUUAACUAAAAGUUUUAUUUGGCAGUAAUUGGUUUUAUUAAUUAAGUAAUCUUAGAGAUAGUAAUUUUAAUUAGGAUUGACUAAAUUUGUGCCAGCAGUCGCGGUUAUACAAAGGAUUCAAAUAAAUUUUAUUAGUGUUAAGUUAAAUGUCUUGUAAAAAUUUAUAAUUUAAGUAAUAUUUAUUUAGGUGAAAUUUUGAAUUUUAUUAAGUUAUGUAUUUUUAUAAUUAGUUGAGGCUUGAAAAUUUUAAGGUUUAAACUAGGAUUAGAUACCCUAUUAUUUAAAAUGUAAUAAGAGAUAGACUUGAGUAGUAAUAGUUAUGAUCUUGAAACUUAAAGAAUUUGGCGGUGCUUUAGUCUAUUCAGAGGAACUUGUUAAUUAAUCGAUGAUCCACGAUGGACCUUACUUAAGUUUGUUAUUUACAACUUGUAUACCGCCGUUAUUGAAAAUUUUAUAAGAAUAAUAAUUUUCUAGAAUUUAAAUUAAAAUUUAUGUCAGGUCAAGGUGCAGUUUAUGUUUAAGUUUAUAAUGAGUUACAAUAAAGUUAUUUAUAUGGAGGUUGAAUUUAAUUUUUUGGCUGAAGGUGGAUUUGAUAGUAAAAUUAUAUAGAUUGGUAAUUUGAUUCUAGCUCUAGAGUAUGUACACAUCGCCCGUCGCUCUUGCUAGUAAAGCAAGAUAAGUCGUAACAUAGUAGAUGUACUGGAAAGUGUAUCUAGAAUAA